CCUACGGGGUGCAGCAGUAGGGAAUCUUUCACAAUGGGCGAAAGCCUGAUGGAGCAACGCCGCGUGCAGGAUGAAGGCCUUCGGGUUGUAAACUGCUUUUAUAAGCGAGAAAUAUGAUGGUAACUUAUGAAUAAGGAUCGGCUAACUACGUGCCAGCAGCCGCGGUCAUACGUAGGAUCCGAGCAUUAUCCGGAGUGACUGGGUGUAAAGAGUUGCGUAGGUGGCAUAAUAAGUAGCUAGUGAAAUCUGGUGGCUCAACCAUUCAGACUAUUAGCUAAACUGUUAAGCUCGAGACCGUUAGAGGUAACUGGAAUUUCUAGUGUAGGAGUGAAAUCCGUAGAUAUUAGAAGGAACACCAAUAGCGUAGGCAGGUUGCUGGGACGGUUCUGACACUAAGGCACGAAAGCGUAGGGAGCAAACGGGAUUAGAUACCCCGGUAGUC
rnacentral:rRNA from 1 species